UCGGCCGCCAACGCUGCAUGCUUGGUGGUCGUUCUGAGCGCAAAAGGACACGUCUCCAGUGGCCGGAAACGGCUGUGCUGGCGUCUGUGCGUCGUUGAGCAGUUGUUGAGCAAAAACCGAUAAUGGGCACCCCGGUGUGGACAUGUUAUUCGUUUGGUCCAUGCCUUACGUACCGUAAUGCGGGCGUGCUCAGGGUUUUGUGCUCUACGUCCGUGGCUGUGAUGAGACGAUGCGGUAGAGCCGGAUGCUUAUGCCUCAGCAUUUGGUCUAAGACUUAAUGAGUGCCCGGCCUGGCACCGCCAGCAUUUUUUCCAAUUAUAUAUUUUCUUACAACAAAGGCUUUAUGCCUUCUGUGAACGAAAAUUCUAGUCUUAUCGGUGGAUCACUCGGCUCGUGGGUCGAUGAAGAACGCAGCCAACUGCGAUAAGUAGUGUGAACUGCAGAAACCUUGAACACAGAACAUUCGAAUGCACAUUGCGCCAUUGGAGUCUAUCCUUUGGCACGUCUGGUUCAGGGUCGUUAUCAAAAAGUGCACGGCACUUGGUGCACGCAAUGAGUGGUGUGAUCAUGUGUGCUUGUGCGCAAAUGUUCGUACCGAUAUUCGUGUUGUGCAACUACCUUUCUCGGACGGGUGCUAGGGCAGAUCUURUAUGGAAUUUUGUCGAUCUGUGCUUUGCUCACCAGCGAUUUGAGCACCUUUGUUCCGUUUUUGGUUGGUUGAGUCACGUGUG
rnacentral:rRNA from 1 species